UACGAAGGUGGCAAGCGUUGUUCGGAUUUACUGGGCGUAAAGGGAGCGUAGGCGGCCAGCACAAGUCAGUUGUGAAAUCUCCGAGCUUAACUCGGAAAGGUCAACUGAUACUGUGCGGCUAGAGUGCGGAAGGGGCAACUGGAAUUCUUGGUGUAGCGGUGAAAUGCGUAGAUAUCAAGAGGAACACCUGCGGCGAAGGCGGGUUGCUGGGCCGACACUGACGCUGAGGCGCGAAAGCCAGGGGAGCGAACGGG
rnacentral:rRNA from 1 species